GACGAACGCUGGCGGCGUGCUUAACACAUGCAAGUCGAACGGUGAAGCUCCAGCUUGCUGGAGUGGAUCAGUGGCGAACGGGUGAGUAACACGUGAGCAACCUGCCCCUGACUCUGGAAUAAGCGCUGGAAACGGCGUCUAAUACUGGAUACGAGAAGGGUCCGCAUGGGCACUUUCUGGAAAGUUUUUCGGUUGGGGAUGGGCUCGCGGCCUAUCAGCUUGUUGGUGAGGUAAUGGCUCACCAAGGCGACGACGGGUAGCCGGCCUGAGAGGGCGACCGGCCACACUGGGACUGAGACACGGCCCAGACUCCUACGGGAGGCAGCAGUGGGGAAUAUUGCACAAUGGGCGAAAGCCUGAUGCAGCGACGCCGCGUGAGGGAUGACGGCCUUCGGGUUGUAAACCUCUUUCAGCAGGGAAGAAGCGAAAGUGACGGUACCUGCAGAAAAAGCGCCGGCUAACUACGUG
rnacentral:rRNA from 1 species